GUUGUUGUAGCCGAGCUGGUAAGGUGUUCAGCUCACAACCAAAGGGGCGCAGGUUCGAAUCCUGCUGGCGGCA